rnacentral:rRNA from 1 species
AGCGAACGUUGGCGGCGCGCUUAACACAUGCAAGUCGCACGAGAAAGGGGGCAACCCCGAGUAGAGUGGCGCACGGGUGCGUAACACGUAGGCAAUCUUCCCUCGGGAGGGGGAUAACCA